AAAUCGGUAGACGCUACGGACUU
rnacentral:tRNA from 1 species